CGGGCUGUAGCGCAGUCUGGUAGCGCGCUUCGUUCGGGACGAAGAGGUCGUGGGUUCGAAUCCCGCCAGCCCGACCA
rnacentral:tRNA from 4 species